GCCCCGGUGGCGAAAAGGGAGACGCGGGGGUCUCAAACACCCUUGCCGCGAGGCGUGCCGGUUCGAGUCCGGCCCGGGGCACCA
rnacentral:tRNA from 1 species